rnacentral:rRNA from 1 species
CCUACGGGAGGCAGCAGUGAGGAAUAUUGGUCAAUGGACGGAAGUCUGAACCAGCCAUGCCGCGUGCAGGACGACGGCUCUAUGAGUUGUAAACUGCUUUUGUACAAGAAUAAUAGUUUCUACGGGAUAGGGAUUUGAAUGUAUUGUACGAAUAAGGAUCGGCUAACUCCGUGCCAGCAGCCGCGGUAAU